CAGGAUGAACGCUGGCGGCGCGCCUAACACAUGCAAGUCGAACGAGCGAGAGAGAGCUUGCUUUCUCGAGCGAGUGGCGAACGGGUGAGUAACGCGUGAGGAACCUGCCUCAAAGAGGGGGACAACAGUUGGAAACGACUGCUAAUACCGCAUAAGCCCACGGCUCGGCAUCGAGCAGGGGGAAAAGGAGCAAUCCGCUUUGAGAUGGCCUCGCGUCCGAUUAGCUAGUUGGUGAGGUAACGGCCCACCAAGGCAACGAUCGGUAGCCGGACUGAGAGGUUGAACGGCCACAUUGGGACUGAGACACGGCCCAGACUCCUACGGGAGGCAGCAGU
rnacentral:rRNA from 1 species